rnacentral:rRNA from 1 species
CAGCCGCCGCGGUAAUACGAAGGGGGCUAGCGUUGCUCGGAAUUACUGGGCGUAAAGGGAGCGUAGGCGGACAUUUAAGUCAGGGGUGAAAUCCCAGAGCUCAACUCUGGAACUGCCUUUGAUACUGGGUGUCUUGAGUGUGAUAGAGGUAUGUGGAACUCCGAGUGUAGAGGUGAAAUUCGUAGAUAUUCGGGAGAACACCAGUGGCGAAGGCGACAUACUGGAUCAUUACUGACGCUGAGGCUCGAAAGCGUGGGGAGCAAACAGGAUUAGAUACCCCAGUAGUCCCUGUCUCUUAUAC